rnacentral:rRNA from 1 species
AGCGAACGCUGGCGGCAGGCUUAACACAUGCAAGUCGAACGCAUCCUUCGGGGUGAGUGGCAGACGGGUGAGUAACGCGUGGGAACAUGCCCUUUGGUUCGGAAUAACUCAGGGAAACUUGAGCUAAUACCGGAUAAGCCCUUUUGGGGAAAGAUUUAUCGCCGAAGGAUUGGCCCGCGUCCGAUUAGCUAGUUGGUGAGGUAAUGGCUUACCAAGGCGACGAUCGGUAGCUGGUCUGAGAGGAUGAUCAGCCACACUGGGACUGAGACACGGCCCAGACGGCUACGGGGGGCAGCAGUGGGGAAUAUUGGAGAAUGGGGGCAACCCUGAUCCAUCCAUGCCGCGUGAGGGAUGAAGACGCUAGGGUUGUAAAGCUCUUUCGGCGGGGACGAUAAUGAUGGUACCCGCAGAAGAAGCCCCGGCUAACUUCGUGCCAGCCGCCGCCGUAA